ACGGGUGAGUAACGCGUGGGCAACCUGCCCCAAAGACUGGGAUAACACUUCGAAAGGGGCGCUAAUACCGGAUGUGGUCCAACUAUCGCAUGGUAGUUGGAAGGAAGGCUUCGGCCACUUUGGGAUGGGCCCGCGUCUGAUUAGCUAGUUGGUGGGGUAACGGCCUACCAAGGCGACGAUCAGUAGCCGACCUGAGAGGGUGAUCGGCCACACUGGGACUGAGACACGGCCCAGACUCCUACGGGAGGCAGCAGUCGGGAAUAUUGGUCAAUGGGGGAAACCCUGAACCAGCAAUGCCGCGUGAGUGAUGAAGGUUUUCGGAUCGUAAAACUCUGUCUUUGGGGACGAAAAAAGUGACGGUACCCAAGGAGGAAGCCCCGGCUAACUACGUGCCAGCAGCCGCGGUAAUACGUAGGGGGCGAGCGUUGUCCGGAAUUACUGGGCGUAAAGGGCGAGUAGGCGGUUAUGUAAGUCAGAUGUGAAAUACCAGGGCUCAACCCUGGGGCUGCAUUUGAAACUGCGUGACUUGGGUGCAGGAGAGGAAAGUGGAAUUCCCAGUGUAGCGGUGAUAUGCGUAGAUAUUGGGAGGAACACCAGUGGCGAAGGCGACUUUCUGGACUGUAACUGACGCUGAGGCGCGAAAGCGUGGGGAGCAAACAGGAUUAGAUACCCUGGUAGUCCACGCCGUAAACGAUGAGUGCUAGGUGUAGGGGGUAUCGACCCCUCCUGUGCCGCAGUUAACACAAUAAGCACUCCGCCUGGGGAGUACGGUCGCAAGACUGAAACUCAAAGGAAUUGACGGGGGCCCGCACAAGCAGCGGAGCAUGUGGUUUAAUUCGACGCAACGCGAAGAACCUUACCAGGGCUUGACAUCCCUCGCUAGUCGUGGAAACAUGAUGUUCCCUUCGGGGACGAGGAGACAGGUGGUGCACGGUUGUCGUCAGCUCGUGUCGUGAGAUGUUGGGUUAAGUCCCGCAACGAGCGCAACCCUUGUCCUUAGUUGCCAGCAGUUCGGCUGGGCACUCUAGGGAGACUGCCGGAGACAAUUCGGAGGAAGGUGGGGAUGACGUCAAAUCAUCAUGCCCCUUAUGUCCUGGGCUACACACGUGCUACAAUGGGCUGUACAGAGGGAAGCGAAGCCGCGAGGUGGAGCGAAUCCCAUAAAACAGCUCUCAGUUCAGAUCGCAGGCUGCAACUCGCCUGCGUGAAGAUGGAGUUGCUAGUAAUCGCGGAUCAGCAUGCCGCGGUGAAUGCGUUCCCGGGCCUUGUACACACCGCCCGUCACACCACGAGAGUUGACAACACCCGACGUC
rnacentral:rRNA from 1 species